AGAGUUUGAUCAUGGCUCAGGAUGAACGCUAGCGGCAGGCUUAACACAUGCAAGUCGAGGGGUAACGGGGAAGCUUGCUUCCGCCGACGACCGGCGCACGGGUGCGUAACGCGUAUACAAUCUACCUUAUACUGGGGUAUAGCCUUUAGAAAUGAAGAUUAACCCCCCAUAGUCUCUUAGAGUGGCAUCACUUCUAGAGUAAAGGUUACGGUAUAAGAUGAGUAUGCGUUCUAUUAGUUUGUUGGUGUGGUAACGGCACACCAAGACUACGAUAGAUAGGGGCCCUGAGAGGGGGAUCCCCCACACUGGUACUGAGACGCGGACCAGACUCCUACGGGAGGCAGCAGUGAGGAAUAUUGGACAAUGGAGGCAACUCUGAUCCAGCCAUGCCGCGUGCAGGAAGACUGCCCUAUGGGUUGUAAACUGCUUUUAUACAGGAAGAAACACCUCUACGUGUAGAGGCUUGACGGUACUGUAAGAAUAAGGAUCGGCUAACUCCGUGCCAGCAGCCGCGGUAAUACGGAGGAUCCAAGCGUUAUCCGGAAUCAUUGGGUUUAAAGGGUCCGUAGGUGGAUAAUUAAGUCAGAGGUGAAAUCUUGCAGCUCAACUGUAAAAUUGCCUUUGAAACUGGUUAUCUUGAGUUAUUAUGA
rnacentral:rRNA from 1 species